rnacentral:rRNA from 1 species
CUCCACGGCCAUACCCCCCUGAAUGUGCCCCAUCUCCACUGAUCUUGGAAGCUAAGCAUUAAGUUGGGCCUGGUCAGGACUUGGGAGUAAUGGCCCAUGCAAAUAGAAGCCCUUAAGC